ensembl:lncRNA
AGGGCCAGGAGGUGCCAUAACGAUCUGGCUCCCAUCUGAGGUGUGGCGGGCGGCCACUGGGGGGCGUUAGGCCGGGCACUGUGUGGUCUGACGUCGGCGGGCCUCCAUGUCAGCUUCAGGCCUCCAUGAGGUCACUCAGCUCCAAGGGAAGGAUGAAGUGGGAAGCCUGUCAGGAGCCCCGUGGGGAGCAGGGUCAACUCUUCAAAAAAUCAUUUGAACAAAAAUCCAUCUUCUAGGAAAGAUAGAUGUGCACAUCCCGAGAACGGUGAAGGGCAUGGUGAUGGAGAAAGAGUUAGUAAAUCAGUACUAACAUUACUGAAGACUAAGGGGGGUGAUCGGGGAGCCAGGAAAUUGACACCCACGAGAAGGGGCAAGGGUCAUGAACAUGGACAAUGCGCUUCAAAGGAGCUGGAGGCCUUGAAGAGGGAGGAAGCAGCUUGGCAGUGGAAUGAAGCGCAGCAGAACUGACAGCUAUUUCCAGAUCCUGAGACUGUGGCGUGUGACAGAAAAGUACCAGCCUCUGGAGAGGAUUGCAAAGGAAGCAUGUUCCAGGUCUCAGGCCCCCGAACUGAUUAGAUGAACCAAAACAAUGACGAAACAACUAGAUGGUGGAGCCCCAAGACAAAACAGGCUUGAGUCCCCAGAUCACAGCUUGGAGAAGGACCCAAUUGCCUUAUGAUGUGAACAAGAAUAAACCUUCAUGCUUAAGCCAC